GGGCUUAACUGUCUCCCCCUUUCAGUCAGUGAAAUUGAUCUAUCCGUGCAGAAGCGGGUAUAACAAUACAAGACGAGAAGACCCUUUGGAGCUUAAGGUACAAGAUUCAGCCACGUUAAACAACUCCAUAGAAAGCAAGAACUUAGUGGCCCUGAAAUUUUACCUUCGGUUGGGGCGACCACGGAGGAGAAAUGAGCCUCCGAGUGGACUGGGCCAAACCCCUAAAGCCAAGAGAAACAUCUCUAAGCCGCAGAACAUCUGACCAAUGAUGAUCCGGCUGAAAAGCCGAUCAACGAACCAAGUUACCCUAGGGAUAACAGCGCAAUCCUCUCCCAGAGCCCAUAUCGACGAGGGGGUUUACGACCUCGAUGUUGGAUCAGGACAUCCUAAUGGUGCAGCCGCUAUUAAGGGUUCGUUUGUUCAACGAUUAAAGUCCUACGUGAUCUGAGUUCAGACCGGAGCAAUCCAGGUCAGUUUCUAUCUGUAACGCUACUUUUCCCAGUACGAAAGGAUCGGAAAAGAGGGGCCUAUCUUGAGGCAUGCCCCACCCCUAAUUGAUGAAAACAAAUAAAUUAAGUAAAGGGGGGCCCNNGCCCCUACCGCC
rnacentral:rRNA from 1 species